AUUGAACGCUGGCGGCAUGCCUAACACAUGCAAGUCGAACGGAGGUAGGGGCAACUCUACUUCAGUGGCGGACGGGUGAGGAAUGCGUCGGAAUCUACCCUAUGGUGGGGGAUAACACAGGGAAACUUGUGCUAAUACCGCAUAAUGUCGAGAGACCAAAGCAGGGGACCGCAAGGCCUUGCGCGAUAGGAUGAGCCGACGCCCGAUUAGCUAGUUGGUAGGGUAAAGGCCUACCAAGGCGACGAUCGGUAGCUGGUCUGAGAGGAUGAUCAGCCACACUGGGACUGAGACACGGCCCAGACUCCUACGGGAGGCAGCAGUGGGGAAUAUUGGACAAUGGGCGCAAGCCUGAUCCAGCAAUGCCGCGUGUGUGAAGAAGGCCUGCGGGUUGUAAAGCACUUUUGUUCGGGAAGAAAUCAUGCUGGUUAAUACCUGGUAUGGGUGACGGUACCGAAAGAAUAAGCACCGGCUAACUUCGUGCCAGCAGCCG
rnacentral:rRNA from 1 species